GAUGAACGCUAGCGGCAGGCUUAACACAUGCAAGUCGAGGGGUAUAGUUCUUCGGAACUAGAGACCGGCGCACGGGUGCGUAACGCGUAUGCAAUCUACCUUUCACAAAGGGAUAGCCCCAGAGAAAUUUGGAUUAAUACCUUAUAGUAAUACGACUUGGCAUCAAGAUGUAUUUAAAGAUUUAUCGGUGAAAGAUGAGCAUGCGUCCCAUUAGCUUGUUGGUAAGGUAACGGCUUACCAAGGCAACGAUGGGUAGGGGUCCUGAGAGGGAGAUCCCCCACACUGGUACUGAGACACGGACCAGACUCCUACGGGAGGCAGCAGUGAGGAAUAUUGGACAAUGGGCGCAAGCCUGAUCCAGCCAUGCCGCGUGCAGGAUGACGGUCCUAUGGAUUGUAAACUGCUUUGUACAGGAAGAAACCCUUUCACGUGUGGAAGAUUGACGGUACUGUAAGAAUAAGGAUCGGCUAACUCCGUGCC
rnacentral:rRNA from 1 species